rnacentral:rRNA from 1 species
UUAACGAGGCUGCUUGCAGCCGAAGUGAGUGAUACCCUGCUUCCAGGAAAAGCCACUAAGCUUCAGCUACACACGACCGUACCGCAAACCGACACUGGUGCGCGAGAUGAGUAUUCUAAGGCGCUUGAGAGAACUCUGGAGAAGGAACUCGGCAAAUUGAUACCGUAACUUCGGGAGAAGGUAUGCCCCAAGUAGGUGAACCUGUACAAGGCGAGCCCAAAGGGGUUGCAAAAAAUCGGUGGCUGCGACUGUUUAAUAAAAACACAGCACUCUGCAAACACGAGAGUGGACGUAUAGGGUGUGACGCCUGCCCGGUGCUGGAAGAUUAAAUGAUGGGGUGAGAGCUCUUGAUUGAAGUCCCAGUAAACGGCGGCCGUAACAAUAACGGUCCUAAGGUAGCGAAAUUCCUUGUCGGGUAAGUUCCGACCUGCACGAAUGGCGUAACGAUGGCCACACUGUCUCCUCCAGAGACUCAGCGAAGUUGAAAUGUUUGUGAUGAUGCAAUCUCCCCGCGGAAAGACGGAAAGACCCCAUGAACCUUUACUGUAGCUUUGUAUUGGAUUUUGAACGGAUCUGUGUAGGAUAGGUGGGAGGCUUUGAAGUGUGGUCGCUAGAUCGCAUGGAGCCAACGUUGAAAUACCACCCUGGUGCGUUUGAGGUUCUAACCCAGGUCCCUUAUCGGGAUCGGGGACAGUGCAUGGUAGGCAGUUUGACUGGGGCGGUCUCCUCCCAAAGCGUAACGGAGGAGUUCGAAGGUACGCUAGUUACGGUCGGACAUCGUGACGAUAGUGCAAUGGCAUAAGCGUGCUUAACUGCAAGACUGACAAGUCGAGCAGAUGCGAAAGCAGGACAUAGUGAUCCGGUGGUUCUGUAUGGAAGGGCCAUCGCUCAACGGAUAAAAGGUACUCUGGAUAACAGGCUGAUACCGCCCAAGAGUUCAUAUCGACGGCGGUGUUUGGCACCUCGAUGUCGGCUCAUCUCAUCCUGGGGCUGUAGCCGGUCCCAAGGGUAUGGCUGUUCGCCAUUUAAAGAGGUACGUGAGCUGGGUUUAAAACGUCGUGAGACAGUUUGGUCCCUAUCUUCCGUGGGCGCUGCAGAUUUGAGAAAGCCUGCUCCUAGUACGAGAGGACCGGAGUGGACACACCUCUGGUGUAUCGGUUGUCACGCCAGUGGCAUUGCCGAGUAGCUAAGUGUGGAAGAGAUAACCGCUGAAAGCAUCUAAGCGGGAAACUCGUUUCAAGAUGAGAUCUGCCGGGGCCUUUGAGCCCCCUGAAGAGUCGUUCAAGACCAGGACGUUGAUAGGCUGGGUGUGGAAGUGCAGCAAUGCAUUAAGCUAACCAGUACUAAUUGCUCGUGCGGCUUGACUC